ACAGAAAAAGGGAAUGAAGUUCUCCCUCGGGUAACCGGAACUGCUUAUAAAGCUGAUGACUUCUACGAUAUU
rfam:Clostridium sp. CAG:127 genomic scaffold, scf111